CUACGGGAGGCAGCAGUGAGGAAUAUUGCACAAUGGGGGGAACCCUGAUGCAGCAACGCCGCGUGGAGGAUGACGCAUUUCGGUGUGUAAACUCCUUUUAUAUGUCAAGAAAAUGACGGUAGCAUAUGAAUAAGCACCGGCUAACUCCGUGCCAGCAGCCGCGGUAAUACGGAGGGUGCAAGCGUUACUCGGAAUCACUGGGCGUAAAGGACGCGUAGGCGGGUUGGAAAGUCAGGUGUGAAAUCCUACAGCUUAACUGUAGAACUGCACUUGAAACUUCUAAUCUAGAGUAUGGGAGGGGGAGAUGGAAUUAGUGGUGUAGGGGUAAAAUCCGUAGAUAUCACUAGGAAUACCUAAAGCGAAGGCGAUCUCCUGGAACAUAACUGACGCUAAGGCGUGAAAGCGUGGGGAGCAAACAGGAUUAGGUACCCUCGUAGUC
rnacentral:rRNA from 1 species